UGCCUGUCCUGCUGCAUUCCAGAAUAUUGUCAGUGAUCAUGGAGAAGACGGGUGACUGGCCAGUCAACCUAACAACCCUAUCACUACAGAGUCAUCACAUCUGGAGAAAAGCAGCAGCAAAGCUAUCCAUAUAUGGGUCAGAGUCCUUGAGGAGAACACAACUGCAACUUUUGAAAUGAAUGGAAUCUGCUGGACAAGGCAGUAUAUCAAGAACAAGAUUCAGAGCAGAGUAAAAUGCAUUGGGUGAAUAUCCACAACCAAAAACAAGCAAUACUCUUCUAAAGAACAUUCAGAAUGUAUACCAAUCUCAGCUUACCCGGCUCUGUGUUUGAGCUUUUUAUCUAGGAUCCCAUCUCUGGAAACAAGUUUAUUAAAUACCAAAAUGCCAAUCA